rnacentral:rRNA from 1 species
AUUGAACGCUGGCGNCCUUUCUAACACAUGCAAGUCGAGCGGUAGAGAGAAGCUUGCUUCUCUUGAGAGCGGCGGACGGGUGAGUAAUACCUGGGAAUCUGCCUGAUAGUGGGGGAUAACGUUCGGAAACGGACGCUAAUACCGCAUACGUCCUACGGGAGAAAGCAGGGGAUCUUCGGACCUUGCGCUAUCAGAUGAGCCCAGGUCGGAUUAGCUUGUUGGUGAGGUAAAGGCUCACCAAGGCGACGAUCCGUAACUGGUCUGAGAGGAUGAUCAGUCACACUGGAACUGAGACACGGUCCAGACUCCUACGGGAGGCAGCAGUGGGGAAUAUUGGACAAUGGGCGCAAGCCUGAUCCAGCCAUGCCGCGUGUGUGAAGAAGGUCUUCGGAUUGUAAAGCACUUUAAGUUGGGAGGAAGGGCUGAUGCUUAAUACGUAUCAGUCUUGACGUUACCGACAGAAUAAGCACCGGCUAACUCUGUG